GAUGAACGCUGGCGGCGUGCCUAAUACAUGCAAGUCGAGCGAACGGACGAGAAGCUUGCUUCUCUGAUGUUAGCGGCGGACGGGUGAGUAACACGUGGAUAACCUACCUAUAAGACUUGGAUAACUUCGGGAAACCGUAGCUAAUACCGGAUGAUAUUUUUAACCUCAUGGUUCAAAAGUUAAAGACGUUCUUGCUGUCACUUAUAGAUGUAUCCUCGCUGCAUUAGCUAGUUGGUAAGGUAACGGCUUACCAAGGCAACGAUGCAUAGCCGACCUGAGAGGGUGAUCGGCGACAAUGGAACUGAGACACGGUCAAGACGACUACGGGAGGCAGCAGUAGGGAAUCUGCCGCAAUGGGCGAAAGCCUGACGGAGCAACGCCGCGUGAGAGAUGAAGGUCUUCGGAUCGUAAAACUCUGUUAUUAGGGAAGAACAUAUGUGUAAGUAACUGUGCACAUCGUGACGGUACCUAAUCAGAAAGCCACGGCUAACUACGUG
rnacentral:rRNA from 1 species